rnacentral:rRNA from 1 species
AAGCUCGUAGUUGAAUUUCGGGACCAAUAUGUCGGUCGUGCUUUUGUACGUACUGGCAUAAUUGGUUUCUCCCUUCUGAAGAACCUUGAUGUCAUUAAUUUGGUGUCUUGGGGAAUCAGGACUGUUACUUUGAAAAAAUUAGAGUGUUUAAAGCAGGCUCGCGCUUGAAUACAUUAGCAUGGAAUAAUGAAAUAGGACGUUUGAUUCUAUUUUGUUGGUUUCUAGGAUCGACGUAAUGAUUAAUAGGGAUAGUUGGG